UACAGAGGGUGCGAGCGUUAAUCGGAAUUCCUGGGCGUAAAGCGUGCGUAGACGGUUAUUUAAGUCGGAUGUGAAAGCCCCGGGCUCAACCUGGGAAUUGCAUUCGAGACUGAAUAGCUAGGGUGCGGUAGAGGGAAGCGGAAUUUCCGGUGUAGCGGUGAAAUGCGUAGAUAUCGGAAGGAACAUCAGUGGCGAAAGCGGCUUCCUGGACCAGCACCGACGUUCAGGCACGAAAGCGUGGGGAGCGAACAGG
rnacentral:rRNA from 1 species